rnacentral:rRNA from 1 species
UACGGAGGGGGCUAGCGUUGUUCGGAAUUACUGGGCGUAAAGCGCGCGCAGGCGGCUUCUUAAGUCUGAUGUGAAAUCUUGCGGCUCAACCGCAAGCGGUCAUUGGAAACUGGGAGGCUUGAGUGCAGAAGAGGAGAGUGGAAUUCCACGUGUAGCGGUGAAAUGCGUAGAGAUGUGGAGGAACACCAGUGGCGAAGGCGGCUCUCUGGUCUGUAACUGACGCUGAGGCGCGAAAGCGUGGGGAGCAAACAGG